GAAACGGAUGCUAAAACCGGAUAGGUAGCAGACAAGCAUUUGACUGCUAUUAAAGUGGCUAAGGCCAUGAACAUGGAUGGACCUGCGGUGCAUUAGCUAGUUGGUGAGGUAACGGCCCACCAAGGCGACGAUGCAUAGCCGGCCUGAGAGGGCGGACGGCCACAUUGGGACUGAGACACGGCCCAAACUCCUACGGGAGGCAGCAGUAGGGAAUUUUCGUCAAUGGGGGGAACCCUGAACGAGCAAUGCCGCGUGAGUGAGGAAGGUCUUCGGAUCGUAAAGCUCUGUUGUAAGAGAAAAACGGCACUCAUAGGGAAUGAUGUGUGAGUGAUGGUAUCUUACCAGAAAGUCACGGCUAACUACGUGCCAGCAGCCGCGGUAAUACGUAGGUGGCGAGCGUUAUCCGGAAUGAUUGGGCGUAAAGGGUGCGUAGGUGGCAGAUCAAGUCUGGAGUAAAAGGUAUGGGCUCAACCCGUACUGCUCUGGAAACUGAUCAGCUAGAGAACAGAAGAGGACGGCGGAACUCCAUGUGUAGCGGUAAAAUGCGUAGAUAUAUGGAAGAACACCGGUGGCGAAGGCGGCCGUCUGGUCUGGAUUCUGACACUGAAGCACGAAAGCGUGGGGAGCAAAUAGGAUUAGAUACCCUAGUAGUCCACGCCGUAAACGAUGAGAACUAGGUGUUGGGGGAAUAACUCAGUGCC
rnacentral:rRNA from 1 species